UCAGUGAGGGAAUAAUAAUUAAUAUACAUUUUAGAUAUUCUUGAUAUUUAUAGUUCGCAAGAUCAUUUAUCUUGAUAUACAUAUACAUAUACAUACUAAACUUAUCAUAUACAUAUCAUAUACAUACUAAACGUAUCAUCAUAACGUAGUGGACUAUAUGUCAGAGAUCAGAUGACACCCGAAGGUGACCAGAUGACACCCGAAGGUGACCAGACCAGAUGACACCCGAAGGUGACCACUGUGGGAUGAUCAGUCGCCACAGGCUGAUGCCUCUCUCACCAGCUAGGUAUACAUACAGAAUACUAUGUGCACACAGGCUAACUACUCUCCGUUAGCAUGGAGUUACUGACAAGUCCCAUAUCAAGGCAUAAUAGAUAUUCACAUAAUCAUCAAGAAACGUAUAUCAUAUCAAAUAGGAUUUACUUUGACAGAUUGCGAGUGCAAAUUCAAGAAUAAAUGAGUACUCGGAAAAUAAGCAACAUAUAUAAUUAUUCAAGGAAUUAACGAGUUGUACUCAUUGUAUAAUCAACAUACAUAUUUACUUAUCAUAUAUGCAUAUUAAAGAUUAUUCCACUCACCCGGAAAAUAUAGAACUAAAAGGAAUGUCAGACGAAAGACCCGAAAAUCCUAUUGAGGAUCGUUAGGAGAACCUACAACAAUACGAAAAUAUACUCAAAAGCAACUCAAACAAGAGAUCCCAAUGCAUAAAAGAAAACCAGGUUUAGUCUCCUAAGUUUAUGGACUAAAACGAUAAUUUUCCAAAACAGGGACCAAAACGUAAUUUUACCAAAAUUGGACCAAUCUGGAAAAUACAUAACUAUACUGAAUUUUCACCCAUAAACCAUCCUUAAUUCUGUCUAGAACGAACCAGGGACCGAACUGUAAUUUUCAUAAAGUUCAGGGACUAAAAUGUAAAUUCCCGAAAUUGAGGGACCAAACUGAAAAUAUUCCAAAUCAAUUAUCAAACUCAGAUUCAUCAUCCUUAACCUCAUAAUAACACUGUCCAGAAUCUCAAAAUACAAUUAGGGGUCAAAUUAUAAUUUUACCAAAGUUUAGGGACUAAAUUGUAAUUUCACAAAUUGAGGGACCAAAUUGAAUUUUCGUCAUCUUCAACCUCAAACCCAGAAUUUCACAGAUUACCUACUGUCAUCUUCUGAUUUCUAACACAAUUUCACCAUUCAAACAAAAUCAUAACUCAAAAUCAUCAUCUUUACCUCCAAUCUCUCACAAUCAACUAAUUAACCAAUUACCCACAACAAUCAACCCAUAACCUUCCAAUUAAUUCAUCAAUCAAACUCAAAACACAAUAUUCAAAACCCUAACAUUUAUCAAAACAGAACUUAAAGCUUAAAGAACACACAUUUAUACAUAAUCUUACCUUUAAACUUAUUUUCCUCUACUUCUCUCCCUUUUCCCUUCUCUUCCCCUCUUUUCUCUUCUUCUUCUUCCUCCUCCCUUCUCUCUCACGGUUUGCUCCUUCCAUUUUCAGAUCCCUCUUUCUUUCUUCUUCUUUCUUUUAUUUAUAUUUAUCAACUAUUGUUCAAUUACCACAAUACCCCUCAUUUAAUUAUACUUACUUCUAAGCCUCCAAGGGCUUGGUUGCCCUUUCCUACUAAUUUAUUUGCAAAACAUCACAAUCUCCCCACCUUAUAAAAGUUUCGUCCUCGAAACUUAAAAUUUAAGAACCAAAGUCUUACCAUCAUGAUCAAAUAAAUUAUUUAAAACUUAUCUCUAAAAUUGUAUUUCUUAAACUAUCAUUUAAAGUCCACUUAAAAAAAAAAUCAAUAUAUAGCACCAUGCUUUCGUUGCGCACUCUGAUAUAUCCACUGAAAAAAAUAUCUCAUGCAUAACUUUUCUUAAUUCAUAUCCCUCAAAAUCAAACAACACACCCUUCAAUUUCUCUUGAAUCAACUUUUCUCAAAUAACUUAUCUCAAAUCAUAUCUCUUCAAAAAUCAAAACGCAUCCUCAUAAUUUAUUUAUUUUUAAGCAUCAGGUAAAAGAAUUCAGCCUUAUAGUUGGGGAAUGUCAUGAAGUAACAGAGUCUAAUGAACAACAACAAUUAUGAGCUCAAACUUUCAAGAGGUAUCAAUCAUGGAGGAGAUUUCGCUUGCAAAAGCAAUAAGCGAUGAAGAUGAUAAGAUGUAUGUAGUUCUCUCAACCACCAUAACAACUAAAGAGUCAGAUGAAAUGAUAAAGACUAUAAAGGAGGAACAUAGUUGUUGUGACAAGAUUAAGGCAACAAUUAUGGUAAAGAUAACAAAAACCAGCUUGGAAGAAGCUUAGAUGGAUGAAAAGUUGUUAUAUGGUUUCAAUAUUACCUCAAAUGAUAGUGUUUCUCUUGAAAUUGAAGCAAAAACAUGUUUGAUAAGAAAAAAAAAAUCAAAGAUAACAUGGGACUUAAGAUACCCUACUUGAGAACUGAGGAUGCAUAGUAUAAGCAGUUUGGUGUGCUUCCGUCAUCACAUCUCUUUUCAAACCAUCCACCUCAGGCACACAUAACCUGGAACCAAAUCUCAACACACCAUCUUCAUGGAUAACAAAACCCGGAGCUCUCCCUAACUCCAACUCAUCUCUAAUCUUGCAAAGUCGCUCAUCCUUCAUUUGAGCUACUUUAAUUCGGUCUACCAAGUCUGACAUAGCCUGAAAGUGAGCCAACAAUGCUCCCGAUUCACAAAUCUCAAAACUGACCCUCUCAUCUAACAAUCAGUGUAACUCUUUAAUCAAAGGUCUCCUCACCUCCUGAAUAUGAGCCAAACUACCCAUAGAUUUUCUGCUUAAGGCAUCGGCAACAACAUUUGCCUUGCCCGGGUGAUAUUGAAUCGUGCAAUCAUAAUCACUUAACAAUUCCAUCCACCUUUUCUAUCUCAAAUUCAGAUCCUUAUGCUGGAAGAUAUAUUGAAGACUUUUAUGAUCUGAAAAUAUCUCACAUGUCUCCCCAUACAAGUAGUGUCUCUAAAUUUUAAGGGCAAACACUACUGCAACCAUCUCCAAAUCAUGUGUGGGGUAAUUUUGUUCGUGCUUCUUCAACUUUCUCGAGGCAUAAGCAAUCACAUUACCGUUCUGCAUCAAAACACAACCCAAACCAAUCCUGGAUGCAUCAUAGUACACGGUAAAACCACCAGACCCUGAAGAUACUGUUAAAAUAGGAGCUGUAAUUAACCUUUCCUUCAACUCCAGGAAACUCUUUUCACAUUCUUCUGACCAUUGAAACUUGACAUUUUUUUUUUUUUGUCAACUUAGUCAUUGGAGCAGCAAUUCAGGAAAAAUUCUCCACGAAUCUCCUGUAAUAUCAUGUUAAACCCAUAAAACUCCUAAUCUCAGAUAUUGUAACUGGUCUAGGCCACUGCUUAAUUGCCUCCACUUUUUGUGGAUCAACCUCUAUCCUAUUCUUGGACACUACAUGUCCCAGAAACCCAACAGUUUCUAACCAAAACUCACUCUUCAAGAAUUUUCCAUACAACUGAUGAUCUCUCAGAGUUUGAAGCACCAAUCUCAAAUGCUGCUCAUGCUCUUCUCUAGACCUCGAAUACACCAAAAUGUCAUCAAUGAACACAAUAACAAACUUAUCAAUAAACGGCCUAAAAACCCUGUUCAUCAUGUCCAUAAAAGCUGCAGGUGCAUUCGUUAACCCAAAAGACAACACUAGGAACUCGUAAUGCCCAUAACGAGUCCUAAAGGCAGUUUUAGGAACAUCCUCAUUCCUAAUCCUCAACUGGUGAUACCCCGAUCGCAAAUCAAUUUUUGAGAAACAUUGAGCUCUUUGUAAUUGAUCAAAAAGGUCAUCAAUGCGAGGGAGUGGGUAUUUAUUCUUAACAGUGACCUUGUUCAACUGCCUAUAGUCUAUACACAUCCUCAUUGAUCCAUCAUUGGGACCUCUAUGUUCACAUCAUGCACAUAAGCCAAAAACCCAUGCAUACCCUUCUGUACCAUCCUUCUCGUACCAUCCUUCUCGUGAUGGCCGGGAAAAUACUAGAUGGAGAUGAUACUUUAUCUUCAUGAAAAGCAAAUUUGUAUCCUCAUUAGGUUUGAAAGCUAUUAUCUUAUUCCAACAAUCAACUGAGACAUGGUGUCUUGACAACUAAUCCAUACCUAAUAUCACAUAAAAUGCUCACUAUUUCUAAAAGUACCAAAUCACCCAAUUUUAGAUAAGUAUAUUAAUCAACAUAUAGAUCAUAAUCAAAAGCCUAUAAUAACAACCUUCAUAAGUAAUUCUCCAAUAACAGUCUCAUCAUCCAUAACUAAUUAAUCAUAUUUCAACUUUCUCCUGCAUUUAAAAUCUAUAUUUCUGAAAUAAAAAUAUUGCGGAAAGAGAUGAGCGUCCACGACUCAAAAAGUAAUCAAAAUAAACACACCCAGAAAAAUAUUAUCAAACACAAAUUUUUCAUUGAAUAUUGUCAACGAUAUAUAUAUCAUAGAAAAAGAUUAUUAGACAUAUUUUUCAGAAUACUUACCAAAGAUAACACAUAUAGAUAUAAAUAUGAUGUAAAAUCAGAUUUAAAUACAAAAAUACUAUAAGUUGUUCAAUUACUUAAAAGCACAUACUUACAUUCAAUAUACACUCACUAACAUGAUUUGCACAUAUACAUACUUUUAGAGCACUACAAAUCAGAAAAUCAGCUCAUUUACAUAUAUUAUAUAUACUUCCAAAAAAAAUAUAUUUAUACCAAAUACUUAUGCUUAAGUAUUUUCAAGAAAUAUUAUUACUCAAAUACACGUUUUAUGCAAAUACUUUCAAAGAUAUACUUAUAUCAAAUAUUCACACACACAAGUAUAUGCAAAACACGUAUACCACAUAUAUUAUAUCCAAGAAUAUACUUAUAUCAAAUAUUGUCAGCCAUGUAUGAAAAACACAUAUUAUACAUAGUAUAUCCAUUGAUAUAUUUAUAUCAACCAUUCACAUAAUAUAUAUUUCCCCACAUGUAUAUCAACACGGCAAUAAAAAAAAAAGUUCAAAGAAGACAAUGAGGAAUCACAAUAAGACAAGAAGGAUCCUAAGCUCCACAUAUUACAAGUUUUUUUUUUUUUAAAAAAAAGGACCAAGUUUUAACAAAACCAAGCUACAGGGAUUUAACAAGAACCUGGCUCUGAUACCACCUUUGUAACGACCCGAAUCCCGGGUCCAUGACCGGCAACGCAGGAGCGGUGCCGGAAGGACACCCCGCCCGCGCUAAGCCUCAAAACGAACAUAUCAAAAGAAUAAUUUAUUCAAAAAUACGCAGCAUUUCAUAAUCUUCAGAAAUAUUAUAUCCUUCAAAACUGAUGAAACCAAAAGAUAGUUUAAAACUCUUCAUCAGUAAUUAAAACAAAAACAAUAAUCCAUAAUACUCAUUACAUUGUCAAAAAUCCAAACUUAAUUAAAACAAGGUAAUAGUGGAGCGCCUAAGACAUCGAAUCAAACAGCCUUGAAAGAUAAGCAAGGCAUACCGACCCAAAACUGAAGAAGCAGGAACACUCAACAAGGUUCACCUGCUAUCAGAAACUAAGAACCUGAAAUAAUAUUAAGAAUGAGGGGUGAGUUCAACCAACUCAGUGAGGGAAUAAUAAUUAAUAUACAUUUUAGAUAUUCUUGAUAUUUAUAGUUCGCAAGAUCAUUUAUCUUGAUAUACAUAUACAUAUACAUACUAAACUUAUCAUAUACAUAUCAUAUACAUACUAAACGUAUCAUCAUAACGUAGUGGACUAUAUGUCAGAGAUCAGAUGACACCCGAAGGUGACCAGAUGACACCCGAAGGUGACCAGACCAGAUGACACCCGAAGGUGACCACUGUGGGAUGAUCAGUCGCCACAGGCUGAUGCCUCUCUCACCAGCUAGGUAUACAUACAGAAUACUAUGUGCACACAGGCUAACUACUCUCCGUUAGCAUGGAGUUACUGACAAGUCCCAUAUCAAGGCAUAAUAGAUAUUCACAUAAUCAUCAAGAAACGUAUAUCAUAUCAAAUAGGAUUUACUUUGACAGAUUGCGAGUGCAAAUUCAAGAAUAAAUGAGUACUCGGAAAAUAAGCAACAUAUAUAAUUAUUCAAGGAAUUAACGAGUUGUACUCAUUGUAUAAUCAACAUACAUAUUUACUUAUCAUAUAUGCAUAUUAAAGAUUAUUCCACUCACCCGG
rnacentral:lncRNA from 1 species